AUGCAAGCAUUCCUCGCCUACUCGAUCUUUACGAAUCCAUGUUCGAGGUCUUUCUUUCCGCGUCCAGCAACGCAACCUCGGCUCCUCCUGUCCUCGGUUCCGGCAGCGAGGACGGGUGCUGCUGCCACCGCAAGAAGAUGCGGUGGGCCGGGCCGGAGCGUGGUGACCGCGGCGUCAUCGUCCCCGGCGGUGGCCGCCGUGGCGACGGACGUUCCCGGGACGAUGAAGGCCUGGGCGUACGAAGAGUAUGGGGACGCCAGCGUGCUCAAGCUCGAUGAGGCCGUGUCGGUGCCGGCGGUGGGCGAGGACCAGGUGCUGGUCCGGGUGGCAGCCGCGGCGCUCAACCCCGUCGAUUCCAAGCGGCGUAUGGGCAAGUUCAAGGCCACCGACUCCCCACUCCCGACUGUGCCAGGGUACGACAUGGCCGGAGUGGUCGUCAAGGUCGGCAGCCAGGUGAAAAACCUCAAGGAGGGCGACGAGGUGUACGGCCACAUCAGCGAGAAGGUCCUCGAGGGACCCAAGCAGUUCGGCUCGCUGGCAGAGUACACCGCCGUGGAGGAGAAGCUGGUGGCGCUCAAGCCCAAGAGCAUCGACUUCGCGCAGGCCGCCGGUCUGCCGCUCGCCAUCGAGACCGCCCAUGAGGGCCUCGAGAGGGCGGGCUUCUCCGCCGGCAAGUCCAUCCUCGUCCUCGGCGGCGCCGGCGGAGUCGGGACCCUCGUCAUCCAGCUGGCGAAGCAAGUUUACGGCGCGUCGACGGUGGCGGCCACGGCCAGCACCCCGAAGCUGGAGCUCCUGAAAAGCCUGGGAGCCGACGUGGCCAUCGACUACACCAAGGACAACUUCGAGGACAUGCCGGAGAAGUACGACGUCGUGUUCGACGCAGUCGGCCAGGGCGAGAAGGCGGUCAAGGUGGUGAAGGAAGGCGGCAGCGUGGUGGUGCUCACCGGCGCGGUCGCGUCCCCGGGGUUCCGGUUCGUGGUCACCUCCGACGGGUCCGUCCUGGCGAAGCUCAACCCUUACCUCGAGUCCGGGAAGGUGAAGCCGGUGGUCGACCCCAAGGGGCCCUUCCCCUUCUCCCAGGUCGUGGAGGCGUUUUCCUACCUCGAGACCGGGCGAGCCACCGGCAAAGUAGUCAUUUCACCAGUUCCAUGA
rnacentral:rRNA from 1 species